AUUGAACGCUGGCGGCAGGCUUAACACAUGCAAGUCGAGCGGAGAUGAGGUGCUUGCACCUUAUCUUAGCGGCGGACGGGUGAGUAAUGCUUAGGAAUCUGCCUAUUAGUGGGGGACAACAUUCCGAAAGGAAUGCUAAUACCGCAUACGUCCUACGAGAGAAAGCAGGGGAUCUUCGGACCUUGCGCUAAUAGAUGAGCCUAAGUCGGAUUAGCUAGUUGGUGGGGUAAAGGCCUACCAAGGCGACGAUCUGUAGCGGGUCUGAGAGGAUGAUCCGCCACACUGGGACUGAGACACGGCCCAGACUCCUACGGGAGGCAGCAGUGGGGAAUAUUGGACAAUGGGGGGAUCCCUGAUCCAGCCAUGCCGCGUGUGUGAAGAAGGCCUUAUGGUUGUAAAGCACUUUAAGCGAGGAGGAGGCUACUGAGACUAAUACUCUUGGAUAGUGGACGUUACUCGCAGAAUAAGCACCGGCUAACUCUGUGCCAGCAGCCGCGGUAAUAC
rnacentral:rRNA from 1 species